GCCUGGAUAGCUCAGUUGGUUAGAGUGUGGUGCUGCUAAUGCCAUGGUUGUAGGUUUGACACCCCCUCCCCCAUAUG